CUCUGAAAUAAUAUCAAACGUAAAAAGUUUAAAUAUGAAACUGUUUUGUACUUUAUCAAAUAUAAACAUAGGUCAGUUUAACAGUUAAACUUAUUCGGUAUAACAAUUUAAACUAGGCGUGAAUAACCGGCGACAAUUUUUAUCAGUGUAUUCGCCUUCGAGUUGAUCAGCCGCGCGCGGAUGUAAACAUGCAGAUUCGUUUUCAAACGUUUUCCCGAAACGCUCCUAAAACAGUUCGGUUCCGACGAUCUGGCCAUCCCAGGACAUUGUUUAUUUAAUUUAAUUUAAAACUAGAUCAGCAACAGCAUAAGGGCACCGUACUGGCUGUCGAUUCAUCCUUGUCCCGACCGGCAGGAAACGUCCUCGAUCAAAGCAGAAUCUACCUCGUCCAGCAGUGCCACUUCAACAGCGGCAUCCAGACAUCAAGUUAGAAUCGGUAAUUAGGAUUAAAUAACUGUCCGCGGCAUGCUACAAACUCGUCAUCAUAAAGACAACCAACAAGCUACUGCAAUCUGCCAAGAAUUCCGAUCUCAAAGACGUGGUAAUAAGUUCGGCACUGUCUAGAGACCUUCGUCAUCGGGAUCUCCGCGAACAGCUACAAUCAUCGAAGCUUGUUCCUCGAGAAAUUCAGCCUGAAGCACCAGAUUAUUGUUGUACGGCAACAGAGUGCGGCACUUAAGCCGGAUCAGGAUGCAUUCUCGACCAAGACGGAGAAGGUGGCCACAGCAUCGAAGUGUCAACAGAGGUGGCGGACGAAAACUGGAAGCAGUCGAUGCAUUUCGCACUGAUCGCAUACCACCAUUGCCAAAUACGCCCAGUACCUGACAUCCAGAUUUCUCGACAAAAUCGAGUCGCUACCAACCCUGGACCAUCCAGUUUUUCUACGGGAUGAACGGGACAAGCAGGCUGGCUUCGAUUCGGAAUCGUCAACGGCGGUGGAUCCGGAAAUGGCAAGCGAAAGAAGUGCAAAACCAUGGAAUCCAGCAUAAAAUGCUACGCUUGGAAACGAACGAUAACUUCCGA